GGCAACAUAGCUCAACUAUAGCUUGGUAAUAGCUCGCUUAUAAAUCGGCGAAGCAGUUGCCCAUUACAGUCUGUCCAUGGAUCAAGCAGUCCGGUAAUAUCUCCAAUGACUCGAAGAUCUCUUCCAAGAUCUUCGGAAGAUAAGAUCAAAUCCCGAUAGAUUUGGGGUUGAGAUAAAAUCUCUGUAUAUAUCCUGGAUCUGAGCGGAUUCCCCUCCAAAUUAUCAGGAAAGAUUCCUCAUGACGCCUACAUUCUAUUCCUAUAAAUAGAGAUAUCCAUAACCUUUGAAAGGUACAUAUACUCAUCCUAAGACUUGACUGGUGACUCUUUUCUAAGAGAUCAUCCCCCUUAAAGACCCAGAGGCCAGACUUAAGCAUCGGAGGGUCCCUUGCACUAGCCAGGGUCUCCUUUGUUCGUUCCUUUUUCUUGUGCAGGUCCAGAAGGGUCAAUCGGGGACGGUCUACCGGAAAAUUGCAUCAACAACAACAUUAUUUGGUUUUAAAAGAUUCUUGGAUCUGAAUUUAGUGACUUCUUACCCUUCCUCUGUGGCAUCAACGGUUCCAGUCCUGUCGUACUGAAUUACACUGGCCAGAGCUGUGGUAUAUAUACCAUUACCGGCACGGACCUGAACUUGCCUGCCAUCACCAUAGCCUUUCUAAACCAAUCAAGAACCAUUCAAAGAACGGUCACCAACAUGGUUGCAAAUGAGACUAUAUAACGUUGGUUGGAGUUCCCCUUUUGGAGUUUCAGUUUCAGUGACACCCAAUCGUUUUUUCAUCGGUAGAGGUCAGAGGCAGAUUUUUAAGGCCAUCAUGAAUAGCUCCAUUUCCAGCUUCCGAAGAAUUGGGCUCUAUGGGAGCAAUGGCCACAUAUCGAUUGUUCCGUUAUCCGUUAUUUCAAAGAUUGCAUCUAACAUAACUAACAGCUGAAAAAGAUCUGUUGCUGCCGAGUGAUUUUUUAUUCUUUCCUAUUGUGUGUGUAAAUGUUGAAGCAUCUUUGUGAAAUGUAGUUCCAAUUGAUUAAUUGAAGAAUUCAAAUAAAUUGAUUAUGUUUCAAAUAAA